rnacentral:rRNA from 1 species
UGGGGAAUAUUGCACAAUGGGCGGAAGCCUGAUGCAGCGACGCCGCGUGAGGGAUGACGGCCUUCGGGUUGUAAACCUCUUUCAGUAGGGAAGAAGCGUAAGUGACGGUACCUGCAGAAGAAGCACCGGCCAACUACGUGCCAGCAGCCGCGGUAAUACGUAGGGUGCGAGCGUUGUCCGGAAUUAUUGGGCGUAAAGGGCUCGUAGGCGGUUUGUCGCGUCGGGAGUGAAAACCAGGUGCUUAACACCUGGCUUGCUUUCGAUACGGGCAGACUAGAGGUAUGCAGGGGAGAACGGAAUUCCUGGUGUAGCGGUGAAAUGCGCAGAUAUCAGGAGGAACACCGGUGGCGAAGGCGGUUCUCUGGGCAUGACCUGACGCUGAGGAGCGAAAGUGUGGGGAGCGAAC